GAUGAACGCUGGCGGCGUGCUUAACACAUGCAAGUCGAACGGGAAACAUUUUAUUGAAGCUUCGGCAGAUUUAGCUUGUUUCUAGUGGCGGACGGGUGAGUAACGCGUGGGCAACCUGCCUCACACUGGGGGAUAACAGUUAGAAAUGACUGCUAAUACCGCAUAAGCGCACAGUACCACAUGGUACGGUGUGAAAAACUCCGGUGGUAUGAGAUGGACCCGCGUCUGAUUAGCUGGUUGGUGGGGUAACCGGCCCACCAAGGCGACGAUCAGUAGCCGACCUGAGAGGGUGAUCGGCCACAUUGGGACUGAGACACGGUCCAA
rnacentral:rRNA from 1 species